GCCCAUGUGGCUCAGUUGGUAGAGCAUGGUGUUUGCAAUGCCAGGGUUGUGGGUUUGAUUCCCACGGUGGACC
rnacentral:tRNA from 1 species